rnacentral:lncRNA from 10 species
UGGAUUCAAACCAAAGAACCCAUGUGGACACGUUGUACCCUUUGAAGCAUCGCACACAAUUUUUACAGACUGUGGGUAUUUCCAAAGAAUGCAUUCAGCACCAUCUCUAUCCAAUGACGGGAAAGAAAGCCAAGAUUGGAUUUCUGAGGCAGCAUUAAUACAUAAUGAAAUUCAGAUUUCAAAAUUAUGAAGUCUUAAUCAGAAUCUACCUCACAAGAUACCACCUGAAAAUUCCAGUGCUAUCCGGGGUGCCUUUGCGUGGUAACAGCAAUUGCCAUUACCAAGACUUAAGACAAGCUAGACGCUGUUGGAACAAUGCAGGCUCCCAGGUCAACAUCAGCUUGACUGAAAUGGGAUGUUUCUGUACUUGAGCUCUGCAACAGUAAUGAAGAGCUCCAUCUGGAAAUCAUUCCAAUAACAACGACGACUGUCUUCUGCUUCAAUCGAUCAUUCUAUGGUCCCCACCGCUAGCCAGCUCUAUUUCUGCAAAUGUCAUAGAAGUGUGGGUGUGUAGGCUGGGCAGGGUGGCUCACGCCUGUAAUCCCAGCACUUUGGGAGGCCGAGGUGGGUGGAUCACGAGGUCAGGAGAUCGAGACCAUCCUGGCCGACAUGGUGAAACUCCAUCUCUACUAAAAAUACAAAAAUUAGCUGGGUGUGGUGGCGUGCCUGUAGUCCCAACUACUCAGGAGGCUGAGGCAGGAGAAUCGCUUGAACCCCGGAAGCAGAGGUUGCAGUGAGCCGAGAUCGCGCCACUGCACUCCAGCCUGGUGACAGAGUGAGACUGUCUCAAAAAAAAAAAAAAAAAAAAGGUGUGGGCGUGUUUGUUGUGCGGGAUUAUGGUCUCAUUCCUAGUGCUGCUUUGCCCUAGGGAAAUGCUGGUCACAGCAGUGUUGGUAGCUCCCUCCCUCCUUGCUUCCCGCUGGGUCUGAGCUCCUUUCUCUGGGAGGUAAUGGCUGUGUUAAGAAGGGCUAGCAGGAUGGGACUAGCUCCAGAGCCCAGGCUGCAACGUCCCCAUCGGCGCUGGGGCUGAGUUCCAGGAGGAAGAGCAGGAGGCUGGGGGAUUUCCAGGAAGUCUCUAACCUCAGCAAACAAGAGCAAAGCUAUCUGCCCAUCAGACCUGGGCCACUCAGGCGCUUUUCCUGGUGGGUGACAGCCGCCAGGACUCUGAGGAAAGGCCAUGGUGCUUUCUAAGGGCCCAGGAGAGGCCAGUCCUGGGCUGAAGGGAAGGAGCCCUUAUUUUUCCAGUGACAUGAGUUGUCCAAGCAUUUUCCAUGCACUCCCCUUCAGAGAACAUUUCUGUCAAAUGAAACUGUUGCUUCCUCCACUUAACAAUCCAGAAGGAGCUGCCCUCAUGCCCCAAGAGCUCACCCUCCCCAGCUACAGGGCACGGGGCUUUCCAGGGUCCAGAACCCAGGCUGGGGUGGCCAGGCCCAUAGGUCAGGAAUGAGCGUUUCCCAGCACAGCCGCCCUCAGCCUCCUCCAUUGUACAGGAGGCAGGGAGCAUGGGAGGAAGCUGCCAGCCUCCCUCCGAGGGCCGUGGCCCAGCACAGCUCGCCCACCAGACAGAAGUCACACAGGCCCAGCCCCCUUGCUCAGCGCAGCCCCAACACAGGCCUCCUGCCUCCCUCGGUCUGGGACCCACUCCCCACAGCACCUCCUAAUUGAGGACUCUGGUUCUCCGUCUGGACGGCAGACCUAGAAACAGCCACAGACACAGGCUUGCUUCCUUGUGGUAAACAGACAACACAAGGCAACGCCCCACGGUUCGCAGUUCUGUGGAUUUUAACUCCUGUGUAGAUUUCAGCGGCCACAACCACAAUGAGGGCAGGGUACAUCCCAAUGCCCCAAACCCCACAGUAACCCCUCUCCUCAGUCACACACCAGCCCCUCCAAGGCCCUGGCCCUGACCCCCUCUCCGCAGUGACACACCAGCCCCUCCAAGGCCCUGGCCCUGACCCCCUCUCCUCAGUCACACACCAGCCCCUCCGAAGCCCUGGCCCUGACCCCUUCUCCAGAGAAAGUCACGGAGGUGGGAUGAUGGAAUGCCACCUCAGAAACUGCCUGCCUUCCUUCAGCAAAAGGCCUUGGGUUUCAACCACACUGUCUCCUCGCUGCUGAGAGGUAUUCCACGGCAUGGAGGGGCCCGUUCCUUUAUCCUUUCGCCCAUCGAAGGACAUUUGAGUUGCUUCCAGUUUUUGCCAAACUGGAAAACAGUUUAUGAAUACAGCUGCUGUCAAUAUUUGUGUGCAGGUUUUUAGAUUAACGUAAAGUUUCAUUUCUCUACAGAAGAUACUAAGGACUGGGAUUGAUGAAUCACAUGGUAUGUUUAUGUUUAUAAGAAACUGCCAAACUGUUUUCCAUUCUACAUUCCCACGAGGAAGUGUGAGCGUUCCCACUUCUCUGCAUCUUUCUCAACACUACAACAGCAGUUGAAGAGUCACGGCAGAGCCUGGAAUACUUCCUGUCUGGCCCUUCACAGGCUAUGGUUGGAAGAAGAAAUUUAAGUGACAAAAAGAAAAAUCUAAAGUGAUUUUGUUACCUAAAGGCAGCAGCAGAUUGGUGUUUCAGAGGCCCUGAAACGUGUAUAGCUCAGAAGUCUCUUCGUGAGAGAACAAUUCCAAAUUAUGAAUGUAAAAUUACUACAGCCUGAGAAAAGACCUGUGCAAAUAAGAAAUGAGGAGGUUGAAACUGCCUUGGUUUCCUGGUAAAUCUGCCUUGCAGAGGCUUUGAACUCUUCACAGGCCUGGCCCCACCCCAGAGCUGCUGAAUGUGCCUCGGAGGUGGGGUAUCCAGGCUUACGAGUUGCUGCAGGCAUUUCUCAGUUGGUCCAAAUGCACAUCUGGGAUCACAGCCUCUGAUCUGAAGCAGAGGGGAGCAACGCGGCCUGGCUGGCUGUGGGACAUGGCACCAGAUGCCAUUUCAAUGAAAGCUUCACAAUAACAUGAGCAAGGGUCGGUGAGUGCUGGAAUCAGCUUCUCCAGCUGCUGUGCUCCAACUGGCCAGGGACCUACAGAGAAGACGCUCAGGGCCAGCAUCGUAGCCCUCGUGGAGGCACAGCUGAGGUUCUCCGCAGUCAAGGCUUCUUGGAGCCAGGAGUCUGUAGAGCCCUGGGGGCCUGGAAGCCCCUCCAUCUGGGAAAGUGGAGGCAAAAGUACCUGGCCCUGCUCCUCCUCGUCCAGCUGGGAGAAGAGCGAGGACCCCACAGUCACCACAAGGAGAGCCCAGGGCUCAGGAGAGCAUCUGAACACACGACAGGGCUCGAGGGAGCAUCUGAAUGCACGACAGGGCUCAGGAGAGCAUCUGAACGCACGACAGGGCUCGGGAGAGCAUCUGAACGCACGACAGGGCUCGGCGGAGCAUCUGAACGCACGACAGGGCUCGGGGGAGCAUCUGAACACACAAAGGCCUGCCUGCUGAGGGAUCGGCAGUGGUCCCAGGUCUGCCUCCUGCCCACCUUCUGACCCCAAGUGAGUUCAUUUACGGCCCUGAGCCUUAGUUUCCCCAGACUUAAAUUGGGAAUGGUGAAAAUACUUACCUGCUAGGUUUGUUCCGAGGGUGAGGAGAAAUCGUGCAUGGGACACCCUCUGAGAGCCUGGCAUCGCCACUCCAGUGCAAAUGAAGAAAGAUCAGAAAAAUGACUCUCGGAUGCUUGUUCUCAAAGAUUCCCCAGAAUUUUUACAAUCUUGAGGUAAAGAAGGCCUUCCUUAGCAAAAUACCAAUUUAAAAAGUACAAAUAAAAAGACUGACAGAUCUGUAGAAAAUGACCUGUUAAAGGUCAGAAGAUAAGGAACAAAAGUAGGAAAAUCAUCCCUAUUUGCAACUUCCGUGGUAGCCAGCCUCACAGACAGCCUCACAGUCCCUGAUCCUUGGAGCUCGCGUCCCUCCCACACUAAGUAAGCCUCGCUGGUGUAACUGGAAGGACGUUGCAGAAAUAACGAAGAGUGACUCCCAAGACUAGGUCAGUGAGACAACAUGCAACAUGACAAAAAUAGAAACAGCUCAUGCAAAUUGACAAGAAAGAGGCAGUGUGACAAAAAGUAAGCCAAAGGUAUAAAUGUCACUGGAAAAGACAACCAAAAGCUAUAUAUAACUGCAUGAAAAUAUGCUACACCCUCACUAGUAAUGAAAGGAACGCUUAGGAGGCCGAGGCGGGUGGAUCACUUGAGGUCAGGAGUCUGAGACCAGCGUGACCAAUAAGGUGAAACCCCAUCUCUACUAAAAAUACAAAAAUUAGCCAGGCGUGGUGGCGGUGCCUCCCAGCUACUCGGGAGGCUGAGGUGGAAGAAUUGCUUAAACCCAGGAGGCGGAGGUUGCAGUAAGCCGAGAUCAUGCCAUUGCACUCCAGCCUGGGCGACAGAGCGAGACUCCAUCUCAAAAAAAAAAAAAAAGAAAUGCAGUUUCAUAUACUGAAAUCGCCAGUGUGGUAGAUUCGUGCAGCAAUAGCACAGUCCCCACAGGGAACCAUGCUUCCUGUGCAGCCCUCUCUUAUGGAGAUAUGGGCCCUUAGCCGGUAUGGUGUCAGAAAACCUGACGGACAGAAACGUGUGUGGAGCACUGGGAUUUGCCUCCUAGAGAAUGAGAGACCUCAUGGAGCACAGCCAGGCCGUCUCAGUCAAGACCCACUUAGACUGCAUGGGGCAGAGCCAAGACCAGCCCCAGCCAAUCCCCCAGACACCCGGAGCUUGAGCUCUGCAGAUGAGACCGGUGGAAGAGCUGCCCAGCUGAGCCCAGCCAAAAUGGCCAUGGCUCUGAAAGCAUUAAGGGUUUUGGUGGAUUGUUAUGCGCAACAGAGAUUGGUACCAUGAGUAACUUUCAUCCUAUCAUAUUAACAAAGUUGGAAAUGAUCAAUAUUUUCCAGCAUUGAGGUGCUAACAGAGAAACUGGAACCGUCUGCUAACGAGAGUCUAAGCUGGUGCGUCCGAUGUGAAGAACCUUUAACAAUAACCAUCAAGGUAUUCAGUGCUCAUUGCUCUUGACCUAGCAGGUCCACUUCCAGAAAUUUUUGCUGUGGAAGGAUAUGCAUAACUUGAGCAUAGAUGCAUGAGAAUAAUAUUAUGCAAUAUUAAUCAUAAUUGUGAAAAUACAGAAAACCUAGGCAACCACGUGCACUAAGAAAUGCAGUACACGCACCCUUAAGAAAGAACCAGGCAAACCUGUGUGUUACAGUAUCCAAAGCUGGACAUGACAAGUUAUGAGAAAAGCAGAUUUUAUAAUAAAAUGUUUACUCUAAACCAUUUCUGUAAAAUAAAUAAUGUGUGUUGUUAUGCAUAGGAAAAGUCUGCAAGGCUGCACACCAAACCACGUAUAAGAAUUGUUUUGGGGGAUGUGACUAUGGUAUUUUUGUUUAAUUUUCUUUAUUUUAGAGUAGCUUAAAUAUUUUACAGUAAGCAUUUAUUACUUCCACAGUCAGAAAAACACAAAAACAAAAAUAUUAUAGAGUAAAAUGUAUAAAUGAUGUAACUUGCAGUAAAUACGUAGUUUGUCAUUUAUAGUAAAUAUUUAGCUUGUAUUUUACAUGUGUGUUGAAAAUCUGGAAAGAAAUGCAGUAUUUAGGACAGCUUUUCC